GGCAGAGGGAGCCCGGCUCCCGUGUUCCAGCACGCGCCAUCGGCGCGCAAGGGACAUGAGGAAAGUCCCCCCACCGUCCGGGCGGGCGACCGGGCGCGAGCCCGGGGCGGGAGACCGCCGGCGCUGGAACAGAAACGAAACCCCUCUCCCCGACCGAUGAGGUGCGCGACCCCGUGCCCGAGAAAGGCGACGAUAAAGGGCCGGGAAGCUGACCCACCGAGGGCUGCGAGGCAGACGCCUCGACACGCGCGGCACCGCCGCGCCGACGGGAGAGAACGGAUGGAACGGCGAACCCUCGCCGGUGCAAGUCCGGACCACAAGGUAGCCCGGACGCGGUUCGGACGCUCAGCGGAAUGCCGGGUCGAACAGAAGGGGGCUUACUCCCCUCAGCC
rnacentral:RNase_P_RNA from 1 species